GAUGAACGCUGGCGGCGUGCUUAACACAUGCAAGUCGAACGGAAAGGCUCCUGCUUGCAGGGGUACUCGAGUGGCGAACGGGUGAGUAACACGUGGGUGAUCUGCCCUGCACUUCGGGAUAAGCCUGGGAAACUGGGUCUAAUACCGGAUAGGACGAUGGUUUGGGUGCCAUUGUGGAAAGUUUUUCGGUGUGGGAUGAGCUCGCGGCCUAUCAGCUUGUUGGUGGGGUAAUGGCCUACCAAGGCGUCGACGGGUAGCCGGCCUGAGAGGGUGUACGGCCACAUUGGGACUGAGAUACGGCCCAGACUCCUACGGGAGGCAGCAGUGGGGAAUAUUGCACAAUGGGCGCAAGCCUGAUGCAGCGACGCCGCGUGGGGGAUGACGGCCUUCGGGUUGUAAACUCCUUUCGCUAGGGACGAAGCGCAAGUGACGGUACCUGGAGAAGAAGCACCGGCUAACUACGUG
rnacentral:rRNA from 1 species